AACGCACAUUGCGCCCCUUGGUAUUCCGGGGGGCAUGCCUGUUCUAGCGUCAUUAUAACCCUCAAGCCUAGCUUGGUGUUGGGGCAUGCCUUCGGGCAGCCCUUAAAAUCAGUGGCAGUGCCUUCCGGCUCUAAGCGUAGUAACUUCUCUCGCUAUAGGGUCCGGUAGGACACGCGCCAGAACCCCCAACUUUCUACGGUUGACCUCUGAUCAGGUAGGAAUACCCGCUUAACUUAA
rnacentral:misc_RNA from 1 species